CCCGUAUGUGACCGGMGGAUCWRMCCCAUGUGAAACCCSUUCRACGAGUCGAGKUGWUUGGGAAUGCAGCUCARAAURGGUGGUAMAUUKCWUCURAAGCUWAAUACUGRCCAGAGACCGAKASCGCACMWAWAGAGUGAUCKAAMGAUGAWAAGCACUUUGGAAAGAGAGUCAAAAAGUACGUGAAAUUGUUGAAAGGGAAGCGCUUACAACCAGAYCUGUCCGGGGGCGAUCRACCUCUGUUMUCAGCGGUGCACUCGUCUCCGAUCAGGMCAGCNWCGGUUCGGGCGGCGGGAUAAAGGCCUUGGGAAUGUAGCUCCCCUCGGGGAGUGUUAUAGCCCUCGGUGCAAUGCUGCCAGCCCGGACCGAGGACCGCGCUUCGGUAGGAUGCUGGCGUAAUGGUGGUAAGCGACCCGUCUUGAAACACGGACCAAGGAGUCUAACAUCUAUGCKAGUGUUUGGGUGUCAACCCAUACGCGUAAUGAAAGUGAACGGAGGUGAGAACCCUCAAGGGCGCAUCAUCGACCGAUCCAGAUGUCUUCGGAUGGAUUUGAGUACGAGCAUAGCUGUUGGGACCCGAAGAUGGUGAACUAUGCCUGAAUAGGUGAAGCCAGAGGAACUCUGGUGGAGCUCGCAGCGGUUCUGACGUGCAAUCGAUCGUCAAUUUGGUAUAGGGCGAAGACUAUCGAACAUCUAGUACUGGUUCUGCCGARUUUCCUCAGAUACAGUACGUUUCAGUUUUUGAGGAAAGCGAAUGAUUAAGGCUUGGGUUGAAACACCUUAMCUAUCUCAACUUUAAUAUGUAGAAGUCUUGUUCUUAUUGAAGUGGACUUUGAUGCCCGUUCUAGUGGCCAUUUUGGUAGCAAACUGG
rnacentral:rRNA from 1 species